AACGAACGCUGGCGGCAUGCCUAACACAUGCAAGUCGAACGAGACCUUCGGGUCUAGUGGCGCACGGGUGCGUAACGCGUGGGAACCUGCCCUUAGGUUCGGAAUAACUCCCCGAAAGGGGUGCUAAUACCGGAUAAUGUCUUCGGACCAAAGAUUUAUCGCCUUUGGAUGGGCCCGCGUUGGAUUAGCUAGUUGGUAGGGUAAAAGCCUACCAAGGCGACGAUCCAUAGCUGGUCUGAGAGGAUGAUCAGCCACACUGGGACUGAGACACGGCCCAGACUCCUACGGGAGGCAGCAGUGGGGAAUAUUGGACAAUGGGCGAAAGCCUGAUCCAGCUAUGCCGCGUGAGUGAUGAAGGCCUUAGGGUUGUAAAGCUCUUUUACCCGGGAUGAUAAUGACAGUACCGGGAGAAUAAGCGCCGGCUAACUCCGUG
rnacentral:rRNA from 1 species